GACAGAGGGUGCAAACGUUGUUCGGAUUUACUGGGCGUAAAGCGCGUGUAGGCGGCUUUGCAAGUCGGAUGUGAAAGCCCACGGCUCAACCGUGGAAGUGCAUCCGAAACUGCAUGGCUCGAGUCUCGGAGAGGAAGGUGGAAUGCUUGGUGUAGAGGUGAAAUUCGUAGAUAUCAAGCAGAACACCUGCGGCGACGGCGGCCUUCUGGACGAUGACUGACGCUGAGACGCGAAAGCGUGGGGAGCAAACAGG
rnacentral:rRNA from 1 species